rnacentral:rRNA from 1 species
UACGAAGGGGGCUAGCGUUGCUCGGAAUCACUGGGCGUAAAGCGCACGUAGGCGGACUCUUAAGUCGGUGGUGAAAUCCUGGAGCUCAACUCCAGAACUGCCUUCGAUACUGAGAGUCUCGAGUCCGAGAGAGGUGAGUGGAACUCCGAGUGUAGAGGUGAAAUUCGUAGAUAUUCGGAAGAACACCAGUGGCGAAGGCGGCUCACCGGUCCGGUACUGACGCUGAGGUGCGAAAGCGUGGGGAGCAAACAGG